CCGAAUACGAAACAGACGUAACGUGGUCAAAACAUGGUGGAUACGCCGUUGGUACUUCCUAUAUAUAAGUGUUUUCACUAUGUUACCAAACUUUUGUAAAACGUGCCGUGAGAAAUUCAGUGUUUCGUAGACCUUUGGACCUAAUUCAAACUUUAAACAACUCACGGACGCCUUAUAACCGAUUAUCCACGACGAGACUCAAUUCUUAACGCACUACUUUUGUCCAUCCGAUACGUAUGACAUUCUUAUACUUGUAAUCGCCUAUUAGAUCAAUCGUUCCUCUUACAUCUCCGUUAUUCUCCGUUGUUCAUACAAGCCUCAAUUUUAAACGAAUCUCUUCUCCUUGCCAAAAUCCUUUCAAGUCUUGCUCUUGAAUAAAUUUCGGGACGAAAUUUCCUAAAGGAGGGGAGACUGUAACGCUCCGCGUUUUCAUAACUUUCCAUAUUUAGAAACCGUUGAUUCAUGUUCCUUUUUUUGGAAACUUCAUAUCCUUGUGUUCGUCGUUUCGCUUUAAUCGUAAAAAAAAAAAAAAGAGAGAACUGACUAGAAACAACAACCAAAGUGUUUUUAACGCAAUUGACGAACGUACACGUCAAAACCGACUAUCGACUGUAUUUUACGUGUUUUAAAUACCAAAAUUUUAUUUUAUUACGUUUCGCGGAGUUUGGGCUUUGAAAGCGGGUUCGUAGGAGUAAAUGGGCCAAUUAAAGCACGUGAUUGGGCUUGUGGGUCUUGGGCCUAAGCCCAUUAAAAGAUUAACCCUAAGUAUGUAAAAUAGCAAGAAACCCUAAACUCCUUAUUAUUUUUUUCUUUUCACCAGCCGCUCAUUACCCGAUUGUUCCCUCCCAUUUCAUUUCCCUUACAAUCUUAUGUUCUAACACAAAUAAGAUUUCAUCUCCUCCAAACACACACACCUGGACAAAAACAACCAUCACCUCCUUGCACCUUAUUCCCCCAGACGAACUGAAAACAACCAGCCACCACCCUUUGGUGGCGGCAUACUGUGACUGAAGCACAGAUCGAGAGGGAGACGUGCGAGGGGAGAGAGAGAGAUGAACGAGAGAGGAACCGGCGGACGACAGCGGCGGUGAAGCCGCCUGAAUUAACGACAGCGGCGACGGGGUCAUUUGGGGUCUCUCUCCAUUUCAAACUCGGUUCUACGGGAGCAUCGAAGUCGUCGGAAUUCUUACGUUGGAUCCUCGUUCGUUAUUCUGUUCUCGGAUAACCGUUUCGUUCGUUCUCUUGGAUUAUUCACCAUCUUCACUCGUGCGUUAUUUCAGGGAAUUCUUAUACGCAACCAAUGUGGAUGUUGACGAUGCAUGGAAUCUAGUAGGAUGCUUAGAUACACACUUAAAAAAAUUUGUAUUCAUAUUGUAUUAUUUCAUUACUCAUGUUGUUGUAUUUUGUUUCAAAACCUUGUAAUUGAUUCUUUAGAAAUGGAAUGAAAUGAUUAUUUAAAUACU